AUUGAACGCUGGCGGCAGGCCUAACACAUGCAAGUCGAACGAGUGGCGGACGGGUGAGUAAUGUCUUGGAAACUGCCUGAUGGAGGGGGAUAACUACUGGAAACGGUAGCUAAUACCGCAUACCAUCGGAUGUGCCCAGAUGGGUUUAGCUAGUAGGUGGGGUAAAGGCUCACCUAGGCGACGAGCCCUAGCUGGUCUGAGAGGCUGACCGGCCACACUGGGACUGAGACACGGUCCAGACUCCUACGGGAGGCAGCAGUGGGGAAUAUUGCACAAUGGGCGCAAGCCUGAUGGAGCCAUGCCGCGUGUAUGAAGAAGGCCUUCGGGUUGUAAAGUACUUUCAGCGGGGAGGCGUUACCCGCCGAAGAAGCACCGGCUAACUCCGUGCCAGCAGCCGCGGUAAUAC
rnacentral:rRNA from 1 species